rnacentral:rRNA from 1 species
UACGUAGGGGGCUAGCGUUGUUCGGAAUUACUGGGCGUAAAGCGCGCGUAGGCGGACCUGCAAGUCAGGGGUGAAAGCCCGAGGCUCAACCUCGGAACUGCCUUCGAUACUGCGGGUCUCGAGUCCGGGAGAGGUGAGUGGAAUUCCGUAGUGUAGAGGUGAAAUUCGUAGAUAUUAGGAAGAACACCAGUGGCGAAGGCGGACUCACUGGCCCGAGUACUGACGCUGAGGUGCGAAAGCG